rnacentral:piRNA from 1 species
UGGAGCUCCCACUUGCAGUGGCCACC